rnacentral:rRNA from 1 species
UACAGAGGUGGCAAGCGUUGUUCGGAAUUACUGGGCGUAAAGGGCGCGUAGGCGGUUCGGUAAGUCCUGUGUGAAAUCCCUCGGCUCAACUGAGGAACUGCACGGGAGACUGCCGGGCUUGAGUUCGGGAGAGGGAAGCGGAAUUCCGGGUGGUAGCGGUGAAAUGACGUAGAUAUCUGGAGGAACACCGGUGGCGAAGGCGGCAUCCUGGACCAACACUGACACUGAUGAGCGAAAGCCAGGGGAGCAAACGGG